rnacentral:rRNA from 1 species
GUCUACGGCCACGCCACCCUGAACAAGCCCAAACCCGUUUGCUCUGGGAAAGUAAGCAGCGUCGGGCCUGGUUAGUACUUGGUUGGGAGACCACCUAGGAAAACCAGGUGCUAUAGGCA